UACGUAGGGUGCAAGCGUUGUCCGGAUUUAUUGGGUUUAAAGGGUGCGUAGGCGGCCCUGUAAGUCAGUGGUGAAAUACUCCAGCUUAACUGGAGGGGUGCCAUUGAUACUGCAGGGCUUGAGUUAAGUUGAAGUUGGCGGAAUUGACGGUGUAGCGGUGAAAUGCUUAGAUAUCGUCAAGAACACCGAUAGUGAAGACAGCUAACUAAACUUUUUACUGACGCUGAGGCACGAAAAGUGUGGGGGAUCAAACAGG
rnacentral:rRNA from 1 species